AUUUUGAAGCAGAGAAGGGAAGAAAAAGAAAGAGAUUAAAAUUUGGGGCUGAGGUUGGAAAAGGACCACAGGUUGAGGGUCCUGGUGAGAGUAAGGGAACCUAUAUAUAGUUCAGAGGCUGUCCUCCAAGGAGAUGACAACCUUCAGAGGGAUGGCUUGUGAUGAGCUCAGGGAAUCUGGACAGGGGCUCCCAGACUCACCAAGUGAGUCACAAACAUGUCUUAGAAACAGUGAAACUAUCUGACCUGAAGAGACUCUGACCAAGCCUUAAUAAAGGCUGAAAUUGCAUUUCCCGCCAGCCUGGUGGGCUGAAGCUUGGGUUUAAAUUCUGGCUUAAUUUUAUUCAAGCGGGACAAAAAGUGAAUAUUUCUUGAAUAUCUGAGCUUAAAGAGUAAGAUUCCUCCCUACAACAUAUGGAAGUUAAUCCAAAACUUCUAAGAAUUCUCAUGCUGUAUGUGUCUACAUCCAGGACUGAUUACAAUCCCUCUUAAACAAGUGGCUUCCAAGACACCCAUGCUUAUCUGCAUCAAGCCAGCAGGAAGAGGAAAAACAUGGAGGAUAUCAAGUAUAUGGUCUGUAUGUAUUAGCUUGAAAAUAGAACAUAUCACUUCUGUUCAUAUCUCAUUGUCUAGAACUCCAUUGUAUAUCCAAUAGAGCACCAACUACAAGAUUGCUUCUUGACUCCAGUUGGAUGCAAACGCAGUCUUCCAUACAGCUGAGGGAAGUGGAAAUGAAGAUAGAGCAAAGUGACCUCCCACUGAUACUGGCACAUAAUUACAUUCAAUGUCAUGUUGUUACUUCCAAAGAUACUUUUUGCUUAUGUUGGCUAGGUUUUAAUAGUUUUUGAGGCCUUACUUAAACCCUGCUGAAGCUUUUUUCAAUCAAGUUAAUAGUUAAGACCUUAAAAUUUAUUAUAACAAUAUGUACAAAUUUGAUUUGAGCA
rnacentral:lncRNA from 10 species